GCGGGGAAAUGGUAUGGGGAAACAGCCAGGCAGAGACCCCAGACUCCCUUCCCUGGUGGUCCACCCUCCCUCCCCCACCACAGGAAGUCGGUCAACAUGGUUCCUCUGCUGACAACCUCAAAAGCGUAAGACUCCAGGACGGGUCUGCGCGUCUGUGUGUCUGUGUGUGUCUAUAAAUUUCCCCACUUCUGAGCUGGAACCAGGACUUAUUUGGCAAAGAAUGUCAUCCUGGGGAAGGAGACUGACCGCCCAGAAACAGGAACGUGUAGGUGGUUUCAUUUCUCAGAGCUCACGAUAUGGUUUAUUUAUCCAAGGCUCUGGGAUUUUUCAAAGGUUUACAGAAACAUGUAAUGGAAGAUAUGGACUUCCCACGUACCCCUCCCCCCCACACCCACUUCCCCCUUUGCUGAUAUCUUGCAUUAGUGUGCCCCACCCUUUAGGUCUUCCAUCCAGGAGUCAGAUGCCCCGCACUCUGAGUUCCAGUGGACGCGUACGAAGCAUUCAAAGGGGUUGGCCUCCAAGCUUAAGCUGUCCCCUAAGGAUGGACCUGCCCCAGGCUGAGAAGCCCCAUUUUACCUGAUCACAAGGAGGAGGAAGAACCACCAUCCUAGACGCUCCAGCUUCAAGAGCUAGAGGAAUGCACUGAGAUUGGAAAGGCCAAACCCAACUGGAAGCUGGAAGAGAAGAGAACACGGCAGCUACAAGCCACAGAGUUCCGCUUCCCGGAACACAGAGCAAGGCGGAAAGCGGGCCUGGGGGCAAGUGGGGAGUGCCCAGUGCGCACACCAGGGAGAACAUUGCAAGGUUGGAAGCGAUGGGUUAGAGCCACACAGAGCCACAGGGACAGAUCUCAAAAACAUGGUACUGGGUGAGACAAAAAAGAUAAAUAACCUAACACUGUUUGUGUUUCAAAUGCAUGCACCUAGGGGCACCUGGGAGGCUCAGUGGGUUAAAGCCUCUGCCGUCAGCUCAGGUCAUGAUCCCAGGGUCCUGGGAUCGAGCCCCGCUUCGGGCUCUCUGCUUAGCAGGAAGCCUGGUUUCUCCUCUCUUUCUCUCUCUGCCUGCCUCUCUGCCUACUUGUGAUCACUGUCAAAUAAAUAAAUAUUUAAAAAUAAGAUAAAAUAAAAUGCAUGCACCUAAAAAAAAAAUACAAAAUACAAAGCAGCAAUACUCUUUUCACAAGGACACCUACAAAGACAAGAUUCACUUGCUGGAGUAUUUGCCUGUGGCAGGA